CAAACGAGCAUUUUUAUUUUAGUUUGGCUGCGCCCGUACACUGCUUUCUAUUGAAAUAUAUAUUUAGUAGUAUACAUCAGCGCAUCACCAGUAACAUUUCACAUUUCAACACUAAAAUGUCGAUUUUUAUAAGAAUAUUAUUUUGUUAUUUUGUAAUAGGACUAUUAUUAGUGAACGAAAUGCACACGAUGGAGCGGACUACUACUGAACGUGUCAACUGCAGGCAUGCUAAGUAUGCCGAUCGAAAUGAUCUAUAUAAAUAUUUUGGUUGUAAUUGGUUUCCGGCAUAGUGUAGCUUAUGAAGAGGCGCCUAUCAGUGGUAUACUAUAUAUUUUGUAAAUUCUGUACAUAUAAAUAAAUAAAUAAUAAUGUUUAAAACACUGUU